GCACUUGAAGAUGGUACCUCUCCACCAAAUUUCUUAACACCCAGAUACUUGGGGUUAGAGUCGCGGCCAUUUUUCGUUGACCCAGCAGUCUUUUUUGUGGCCCAACGCCUAAAGACCAAGCUCAUUCCUCCAGAUGUCUCUGGAAUUAAGUACAUACAAGAUUAG
rnacentral:rRNA from 1 species